rnacentral:rRNA from 1 species
AGAGUUUGAUCCUGGCUCAGGAUGAACGCUAGCUACAGGCUUAACACAUGCAAGUCGAGGGGAAACGACAUCGAAAGCUUGCUUUUGAUGGGCGUCGACCGGCGCACGGGUGAGUAACGCGUAUCCAACCUGCCCACCACUUGGGGAUAACCUUGCGAAAGUAAGACUAAUACCCAAUGACGUCUCUAGAAGACAUCUGAAAGAGAUUAAAGAUUUAUCGGUGAUGGAUGGGGAUGCGUCUGAUUAGCUUGUUGGCGGGGUAACGGCCCACCAAGGCUACGAUCAGUAGGGGUUCUGAGAGGAAGGUCCCCCACAUUGGAACUGAGACACGGUCCAAACUCCUACGGGAGGCAGCAGUGAGGAAUAUUGGUCAAUGGACGAGAGUCUGAACCAGCCAAGUAGCGUGCAGGAUGACGGCCCUAUGGGUUGUAAACUGCUUUUAUAAGGGAAUAAAGUGAGUCUCGUGAGACUUUUUGCAUGUACCUUAUGAAUAAGGACCGGCUAAUUCCGUGCCAGCAGCCGCGGUAAUACGGAAGGUCCGGGCGUUAUCCGGAUUUAUUGGGUUUAAAGGGAGCGUAGGCCGGAGAUUAAGCGUGUUGUGAAAUGUAGACGCUCAACGUCUGCACUGCAGCGCGAACUGGUUUCCUUGAGUACGCACAAAGUGGGCGGAAUUCGUGGUGUAGCGGUGAAAUGCUUAGAUAUCACGAAGAACUCCGAUUGCGAAGGCAGCUCACUGGAGCGCAACUGACGCUGAAGCUCGAAAGUGCGGGUAUCGAACAGGAUUAGAUACCCUGGUAGUCCGCACGGUAAACGAUGGAUGCCCGCUGUUGGUCUGAAUAGGUCAGCGGCCAAGCGAAAGCAUUAAGCAUCCCACCUGGGGAGUACGCCGGCAACGGUGA